GCUACUUUCCCAGCUGUGGUUUUUGUGCUGUUCUGAGUUUGGGGGGGUUUCUUCUUCUGGAUACAAAAGACCGUCUUUGAGAUUUGAUGGCAGUCAAAGGUGAAAAGAGGAAAAAUCAGUUUAGAGGAUCUGACAGAGCUACAGCCGACCUGAACCUGAAGCCUUUAAGAAUCUGAUGUGAAAACCUUCAGACUCCUGUUGAGUUCAUCUGGGUUAGUGUGUGAUGAAGAACGAUGAGGUUUCGCUCAGAGAAAUGAAAUGUUUCUGUCCAGGUAACAUCAUAUCAGUAAAGGUCUGUAGGUGAUGUUUCAGUUUGAUGCUGAGUCUUUAGCUCAUCAACUUUUC